GUCUACAGCCAUGACACCCUGAACAAGCCUGAUCCUGUCUGAUCUUGGAAACUAAGCAGGGUCAGGCCUGGUUAGUACUUGGAUGCGAGACCACCUAGGAAGACCAGGUGCUGUAGGCA
rnacentral:rRNA from 1 species